AACGAACGCUGGCGGCGUGCUUAACACAUGCAAGUCGAACGAGAAAGUUCCUUCGGGGACGAGUAGAGUGGCGCACGGGUGAGUAACACAUAGGAACGUACCGAUUAGUGGGGAAUAACCACGGGAAACUGUGGCUAAUACCGCAUAACAUCGAAAGAUUAAAGGGGCCUCUGCAUAUGCUCUCGCUAAUUGAUCGGCCUAUGUCCCAUUAGCUUGUUGGUAGGGUAAUGGCCUACCAAGGCAGUGAUGGGUAGCUGGUCUGAGAGGAUGAUCAGCCACACUGGGACUGAGACACGGCCCAGACUCCUACGGGAGGCAGCAGUGGGGAAUCUUGCACAAUGGGCGAAAGCCUGAUGCAGCAACGCCGCGUGAGUGAAGAAGGCCCUUGGGUUGUAAAGCUCUUUUCAGAUAGGAAGAAGGGUGCAGUGGUUAAUACCCGCCGCAUCUGACGGUACUGUAAGAGAAGCACCGGCUAA
rnacentral:rRNA from 1 species